UAAAGCGUGCGCAGGCGGUUAUGUAAGACAGAUGUGAAAUCCCCGGGCUCAACCUGGGAACUGCAUUAGUGACUGCAUAGCUGGAGUACGGCAGAGGGGGAUGGAAUUCCGCGUGUAGCAGUGAAAUGCGUAGAUAUGCGGAGGAACACCGAUGGCGAAGGCAAUCCCCUGGGCCUGUACUGACGCUCAUGCACGAAAGCGUGGGGAGCAAACAGGAUUAGAUACCUUGU
rnacentral:rRNA from 1 species